GACGAACGCUGGCGGCGUGGAUUAGGCAUGCAAGUCGAACGGUAUCAUCCUUUCGGGGGUGAGAGAGUGGCGAACUGGUGAGUAACACGUAGGUUAUCUACCCUCAAGACGGGGACAACCCAGGGAAACUUGGGCUAAUACCGGAUGUGAGCAACUUUUAGUUGUUUGAAAGGUGGCGUAAGCUGUCGCUUGGGGGAUGAGCCUGCGUCCUAUUAGUUAGUUGGUGAGGUAACGGCUCACCUAGGCAAUGAUAGGUAGGCGGCCUUAACGGGUGUCGCCCACACUGGGAUUGAGAUACGGCCCAGACUCCUACGGGAGGCAGCAGUCGAGAAUAGUCUACAAUGGUCGGAAGACUGAUAGUGCGACGCCGCGUGAACGAUGAAUCCCUUCGGGUGUAAAGUUCUUUUAUAUGUGAGCAGUGCUUCUUAUAUUAAACAGUAUGGGGAGAGAGAUAUUAGCAUAUGAAUAAGCAACGGCUAAACUCCGUGCCCAGCAGCCGCGGU
rnacentral:rRNA from 1 species